UCAGAUUCCAGUAAUGUGGUUCUGAAACUUGAUAACAACAAGAACAAAAGUUACAGUUUUGACAAGGUUUUCCACCAGGGUUCAUCACAAGAUGAAGUAUUUUCAGAGAUCGAGCCAGUGAUCAARUCUGUAAUAGAUGGCUAUAAUGUGUGCAUCUUUGCAUAUGGGCAGACAGGCACUGGAAAAUCCUUUACUAUGGAAGGUAAACCAGAUUCCCCAGGUGUUGUACCCCGUGCAAUUGAAGCACUCUUUAAGCAGGUGGAGGAUACGAGCCACUCAUUUCUCCUUACUUUCAGUAUGCUUGAGAUUUACAUGGGUAGUCUCAGGGAUUUGUUAGUCCCUCAGAUGAACAAAUCAACAGACCCCAUUACAAAAUGGUGAGUUUUAGUUUCCUUCACUUCUCCAUUCUGAUGAUUUUUUUUAAUGUAAGCCACAUGGUCCUUUAGUUUAUGUGGUAUGUUUUAAAAUUGAUAAUCUGGUCCUGAUCCUAAAUAUAAAUUACCUGAGAUAGAACUCCUAUGUGUGCAUGUGACAAAACGGGAAAAGUUCGUAGUUCUGAAAUAGAUUGCUAUGAAAAACUCACCUGUGCUUGUGUCUGAUACUCGGAUGUAGAAAUGAUAUGACUCAAAAGUUUUCUGUUUUUUAGAAGGCUCAGUACUGUGGUUUUUUAAGAAUUUAUGUUUAUGUUGCUUCCAUAUGCUUAGAGAUAAAUCUGGCUUAUGAAAGUUGCAAAAACAAUACUGUACAAUUUAAAUAGCACUUUAUAUUCCCAUUAAUUAACAUUUUAAGUUUGUUUUCUUUAUUCCCGCAGUAAUAUUAACCAAGCAAUAAGGCUGUACAAAUUGGGGAGUCGGUUCAGAUCAACUGCUUCUACAAAUUCCAACCUUACUUCAACCAGAUCUCACUGCUUGAUCCGUAUAUCACUGACUUGUUCAAAUGCUCCUGAGAGACGAAGAGAAAUGAAUAAAAUAUGGAUGGUUGAUCUGGGUGGAAGUGAGCGUGUACUAAAGACAAAGGCAUGGGGGAGAAGACUUGAAGAAGGGAAAGCCAUCAAUCUAUCACUCUCUGCUUUAGGAGAUGUCAUUAGUGCACUCCAGAGACGAAAAUCCCAUAUACCUUACAGGAAUAGCAAGCUGACUCAAGUUCUCAGAGAUUCUCUUGAAGGGGAGGACAGGAGCAAAUCAUCCUGAUAACUUGUGCCAUAUAUGUGGCACGGAGACCAGGCUGUUCAUCCCCCCAUUCUAGCAAUGCUACCAGAGGGAUCUUACCAAGCCAUAYCUUCUGGAUGUCUGAAGAAAAUAAGUAUGGAUUACUUGUUUCUGAGUGGGAGAAAAAGAACAAAAGAAAAAAAGAAAAGGCUUAGGCAU